GUUUUUUUUAUAAUGUCCUAUCUAACACCCCAGUCAUGCCCUUUUAACACCCUAGUCAGGCAUUUGUGACAUCCCAGUCAUACACAAUCAACUAUAUAAUACAUUCAGACAUCAUAUCUUUUUAAUAAUUGUUCUAUUGUAUCAAUCACACCUUCAUUUAUAAUGUCUUCAUCUAACAUCCCAGUCAUGCCCUUGUAACACCCUAAUCAGGCAUUUGGGACAUCCUAGUCGUACACAAUCAACUAUUUAAUACAUUCAGACAUCAUAUCUUUGUAAUAAUUGUUCUAUUGUAUCGACCACACCUUCAUUUAUAAUGUCUUCAUCUAACAUCCAAGUCAUGCCCUUGUAACACCCUAGUCACGCAUUUGUGACAUCCUAGUCGAACACAAUCAACUAUAUGAUACAUACAGACAUCAUAUCCUUGUAAUAAUUGUUCUAUUGGAUCUAUCACAUAUUUUUUUAUAAUGUCCUAUCUAACACCCCACUCAUGCCCUUUUAACACCCUAGUCAGGCAUUUGUGACAUCCCAGUCAUACACAAUCAACUAUAUAAUACAUACAGAC
rnacentral:lncRNA from 1 species